UACGUAGGGUGCAAGCGUUAAUCGGAAUUACUGGGCGUAAAGCGUGCGCAGGCGGCUUUGCAAGACAGGUGUGAAAUCCCCGGGCUUAACCUGGGAACUGCAUUUGUGACUGCAUGGCUAGAGUGCGGCAGAGGGGGAUGGAAUUCCGCGUGUAGCAGUGAAAUGCGUAGAUAUGCGGAGGAACACCGAUGGCGAAGGCAAUCCCCUGGGCCUGCACUGACGCUCAUGCACGAAAGCGUGGGGAGCAAACAGG
rnacentral:rRNA from 1 species